AUGCCAAUCAACAAAGUAGAGGAUGUGAUGCUUAGUGACGAGACAGAAGAUGGUUUUAUCAGGAGCUUCACUUUUUAUUUCCUAUCAUAUAUUUUGUGCCCUGUGUCAUACUGCUUUGGCAACACCAAGUUCCUAUACUCUCUAAGAGAUGUUUCUGCUAUCCCUUCACUUCAGUUUGGGCAAUUGGCACUAGAUUUCAUGCGCGAGGAGUCAGAGCGUCACUUUGAAAUGAUCAUGAACAGACCAAGUGUUGAGGAAAUGAACAAGGCUUCAUAUAUUGGGGGAUGUCUUCCUAUUUGGGAAGUUCAAUCUUGA
rnacentral:rRNA from 1 species